AUGACAUCGAAUGCCUAUGCAGUUUUGGCCAUGGCGCAACCUACACUAAAAGUGGUCUUCUAAAUUAUACACCAUUGUAUCAGAACAAGAUCUAGAAGUUUGCUGUAAUAAUGUUGUUUUUAUUUAACAGCAUUAUUCAAGUUUUGAGCCAAAACAUGGUAAAGGCGGACGUUCAUCAUUUAGUGGUGUGGUAGCAACUGUCUUUGGAGCAACUGGAUUUCUGGGAAGAUAUGUCGUCAAUAGAUUGGGU